rnacentral:misc_RNA from 1 species
GCCUGUUCGAGCGUCAUUACAACCCUCAAGCUCUGCUUGGUAUUGGGCGCCACCACCUGGUGCGCCUCAAAAACAGUGGCGGUGCGUCUGGCUUCAAGCGUAGUAAUUCUUCUCGCUCCGGAGCCCAGGCGGGUGCCCGCCAGAACCCCCAAUUUAUCAAGGUUGACCUCGGAUCAGGUAGGGAUACCCGCUGAACUUAA